rnacentral:piRNA from 1 species
UGAUAGCCUGUCUUUGAUUCCAGG